rnacentral:rRNA from 1 species
CGGACGGGUGAGUAACACGUGGAUAACCUACCUAUAAGACUGGGAUAACUUCGGGAAACCGGAGCUAAUACCGGAUAAUAUUUUGAACCGCAUGGUUCAAAAGUGAAAGACGGUCUUGCUGUCACUUAUAGAUGGAUCCGCGCUGCAUUAGCUAGUUGGUAAGGUAACGGCUUACCAAGGCAACGAUGCAUAGCCGACCUGAGAGGGUGAUCGGCCACACUAGAACUGAGACAGGGUCCAG